UACGUAGGCAGCAAGCGUUGUUCGGAAUUACUGGGCGUAAAGAGUGUGUAGGCGGUGCUCUAAGUUUGGUGUGAAAUCUCCCGGCUCAACUGGGAGGGUGCGCCGAAAACUGGAAUGCUUGAACGUGGGAGAGGAAAGCGGAAUUCCUGGUGUAGCGGUGAAAUGCGCAGAUAUCAGGAGGAACACCAAUGGCGAAGGCAGCUCGCUGGGACGGUACUGACGCUGAGACGCGAAAGCGUGGGGAGCAAACAGG
rnacentral:rRNA from 1 species